rnacentral:rRNA from 1 species
UACGAAGGGGGCAAGCGUUGUUCGGAAGAUGACUGGGCGUAAAGGGCGCGUAGGCGGUUCGUUGCGUCAGAUGUGAAAGCCCCGGGCUCAACCUGGGAACUGCAUUUGAUACGGGCGAGCUUGAAUCCAAGAGAGGGUGGUGGAAUUCCCAGUGUAGAGGUGAAAUUCGUAGAUAUUGGGAAGAACACCAGUGGCGAAGGCGGCCACCUGGCUUGGUAUUGACGCUGAGGCGCGAAAGCGUGGGGAGCAAACAGG